GAGUUUGAUCAUGGCUCAGAUUGAACGCUGGCGGCAUGCCUUACACAUGCAAGUCGAACGGCAGCAUGAUCUAGCUUGCUAGAUUGAUGGCGAGUGGCGAACGGGUGAGUAAUACAUCGGAACGUGCCCUGUAGUGGGGAUAACUAGUCGAAGAUUAGCUAAUACCGCAUACGGACCUGAGGGUGAAAGUGGGGGACCGCAAGGCCUCAUGCUAUAGGAGCGGCCGAUGUCUGAUUAGCUAGUUGGUGGGGUAAAGGCCCACCAAGGCGACGAUCAGUAGCUGGUCUGAGAGGACGAUCAGCCACACUGGGGACUGAGACACGGCCCAGGACUCCUACGGGAGGCAGCAGUGGGGAAUUUUGGACAAUGGGCGAAAGCCUGAUCCAGCAAUGCCGCGUGUGUGAAGAA
rnacentral:rRNA from 1 species